UACGUAGGGUGCAAGCGUUACUCGGAAUUACUGGGCGUAAAGCGUGCGCAGGCGGUUUUGUAAGUCUGUCGUGAAAGCCCCGGGCUCAACCUGGGAAUUGCGAUGGAGACUGCAAGGCUAGAAUCUGGCAGAGGGGGGUAGAAUUCCACGUGUAGCAGUGAAAUGCGUAGAGAUGUGGAGGAACACCGAUGGCGAAGGCAGCCCCCUGGGUCAAGAUUGACGCUCAUGCACGAAAGCGUGGGGAGCAAACCGG
rnacentral:rRNA from 1 species